AUUGAACGCUGGCGGCAGGCCUAACACAUGCAAGUCGAACGAGCGGCGGACGGGUGAGUAAUGUCUGGGAAACUGACUGAUGGAGGGGGAUAACUACUGGAAACGGUAGCUAAUACCGCCUAACAUCAGCUGUGCCCAGAUGGGAUUAGCUAGUAGGUUGGGUACUGGCUCACCUAGGCGACGAUCCAUAGCUGGUCUGAGAGGAUGACCAGCCACACGGGAACUGAGCCACGGUCCAGACUCCUACGGGAGGAAGCAGUGGGGAAUAUUUCACAAUGGGCGAAAGCCGGAUGCAGCCAUGCCGCGUGUGGGAAGAAGGCCUUCGGGUUGUAAAGCACUUUCAGCGGGGAGGCGUUACCCGCAGAAGAAGCACCGGCUAACGCCGUGCCAGCAGCCGCGGUAAUUC
rnacentral:rRNA from 1 species